UGGUAUUUGAAAUAUUAGUGACAUAGCUUCUAGCAUUAUAGCAACACACAAACCACCACAGUAUGACAGAUUGACAGACAGUGGCGGUAGUUCUUUGAAAUACCCCUUAAAAUUCAUCAUACGUUAAUGAUUCAUCUUAAAGCUAAGGUCAGGGAAAGUAUAUGUGUGUGUGUGUGGGGGGGUUAGAUUAUGAUUGAUUAAUGUCUGCCUGUUAAAGCUACAUUAUUCCAGUAUUGCUUAAUAUACUCAAAGGUAUGAAAAGGAAAAUAAAAUUUAUUGUUUGAUUAUUAACCAGACUUGUAAAAUAUUUUAUAAUGUUUCAACAUUUAGCAAAUUUUAAGCAAAGACGUCCUUUGCUGUAUAACUUUAAUACCGUAAACAAAAGUCAGAAAAAUCUAGCAUUCAUUGUGUACAUACUUAGUACAUAAUAUUCUAAACACUAUAAAUAUCUUACUUCUUUCAAUUCUCACAUAGGUACUGUUAUUAGCUCUAUUUUACAAAUGAGGGGGCUGAGGCACAGACAGGCUGUCACUUCUCCAGGGUCGUGGAGCUAAUAAGUGACAAGCUGGGAUUUGAACCCAGGCAAUCUGAUCCCAGAGCUCAAGCUCUUGAUCUUUAUUUACAGUCCAUCUUCUACUGUUGGAACAACUCGUUCUGUUUUGUUAUAUAACAGACAUUGUUGAGAUUACUUCUUUAAUUUUUGAAAUUCACUCUAAUCUUAAAAUUUUAAAAAUGCUCUGAAUUAGAGGGAAGUGUUCUAAACUAAUCCCAGCGUCCAGAACUUGAAAUAACAUCAGGCAAGUAUAAUUUUCCUUCAGAAGUAUUGAAGAGUUCAUUUAUUUUUCCUCUAGUUGCCUUGUGCCUUUACAUGCUCGGCAGCUCAUCUCAGGACACUCGCCUUCCGUAAAACGUUGCACAAUUACUGUGUGAUUUAAGAAUGGAUUCAAGUAGGUUACCGAUUGCUUACAAUAUUAAUAAUUCAUUUUGGAAAAUAACUUCCCCUCUUUUGCAGCUGUUUCCUAUCUUCUCUUCUAGUCCACAUCCUGUAGAGGGAUGGUUAAGGAGUGGCUGAACAAGGAGAUACCAGGAAAUGAAAUUGUAGAAUUCCAGGCUACAGAGACAACAGAAUGCUGUACUGGGCCCACUAGGAAAAUGCUCUGUUGCUUUGCAUGAAAACUGUGAGAAAGCAGAUAGCUACUUUGGACCUGUUGGUAAUGAUGGCCUGAGCAAAACACUGCCCAGUUUGAAGGGAUACCCUUCUGCUUUAAAGAACGGAAUGCUGAGGAAGCUAUGGCAAGUGAUUGGAGUUCCGCUUCAACAAUUUCAGCGGUUCAGCAGUAUUUUGUCCGCCAACAAUAAGCUCUUUACUUGAUUGCACCAUGAAAAAGCUGCUAAUGAGACUUGUCCAGCACAAAAAUGGACUUGAAGGACCAAAAGCCAUUGUUUUCAAAUGAAGAAUACUGUUCUUCAGAGAGGACAGUUUUAAGCCUCAAUGCUUUUUAACCACCACUGAGAUUUCCUCCCACAACAUCAGAAUGGCAAGCAGGCGAAAAUCAACAACACCCUGCAUGGUCCUUGCCAGUGAACAGGAUCCAGACCUUGAGUUGAUAGAUUUGGGUGAAGGUCCUCCUGUUCUAACACCUGUAGAAAACACCAGAGCAGAGAGUCUGUCAAGUGAUGAAGAAGUUCAUGAGUCUGUGGAUUCUGACAAUCAGCAACACAAAAAAGUAGAAGGUGGCUAUGAAUGUAAAUAUUGUACUUUUCAAACUCCAGAUUUAAAUAUGUUUACUUUUCAUGUGGAUUCAGAACAUCCCAAUGUUGUGCUAAAUUCAUCCUAUGUUUGUGUCGAAUGCAAUUUUCUUACCAAAAGGUAUGAUGCACUUUCUGAGCAUAAUCUGAAGUAUCACCCGGGAGAAGAGAAUUUUAAGUUGACUAUGGUGAAACGUAAUAACCAGACAAUCUUUGAGCAAACAAUAAAUGAUCUGACUUUUGAUGGUAGUUUUGUUAAAGAGGAGAAUUCAGAGCAAGCAGAAUCUACGGAUGUUUCUUCGUCAGGAAUAUCUAUCAGUAAAACUCCUAUCAUGAAAAUGAUGAAGAAUAAAGUGGAGAACAAACGAAUUACAGUUCAUCAUAAUUCGGUUGAAGACGUUCCUGAAGAGAAAGAGAAUGAAAUCAAACCGGACCAUGAAGAAACUGUAGAAAAUCCAAGUUCUUCAGCCUCUGAAUCUAAUACCAGUACUUCCAUUAUAAACAGAAUACAUCCAAAUACUGCCAGCACAGUAGUGACCCCAGCAGCAGUUCUUCCUGGCUUAGCACAGGUGAUAACUGCCAUGUCAGCUCAGCAGAAUUCUAACUUGAUUCCCAAAGUCUUAAUCCCUGUUAAUAGCAUUCCUACCUACAAUGCUGCAUUGGAUAACAACCCCCUUUUGCUUAAUACCUACAACAAAUUCCCUUAUCCAACAAUGUCAGAAAUUACAGUUCUUUCUGCUCAAGCAAAAUAUACAGAGGAGCAGAUCAAGAUAUGGUUUUCAGCCCAACGUCUCAAACAUGGUGUUAGUUGGACUCCCGAAGAAGUAGAGGAGGCAAGAAGAAAACAAUUCAAUGGAACAGUACAUACUGUGCCUCAGACCAUAACCGUUAUCCCUACGCACAUUUCCACAGCAAGUAAUGGUUUACCAUCCAUUUUACAGACCUGCCAAAUAGUGGGUCAGCCAGGUCUGGUUCUCACACAAGUAGCUGGAACAAACACCUUACCAGUAACAGCACCUAUAGCCUUGACGGUGGCAGGAGUUCCGAAUCAAACAAAUGCACAGAAAAAUCAGGUACCUGCUGCUCAGCCUGUUGCAGAAACAAAGCCAGCAGCAGCGGCAGCAGUUACAGCUUCUCAGCUUGUCAAACAUGAAACUGCAUUGGCAAACCCUGACUCAUUUGGCGUUCGGGCAAAAAAGACUAAAGAGCAACUGGCAGAAUUAAAAGUCAGCUACCUUAAAAAUCAGUUUCCCAAUGAUUCAGAAAUUAUCAGACUUAUGAAAAUAACAGGCCUGACUAAAGGAGAGAUUAAAAAGUGGUUUAGUGACACCAGGUACAACCAGAGAAAUUCAAAGAGUAAUCAGUGCUUGCAUCUCAACAAUGAUUCCUUGACCACCAUUAUUAUAGACUCCAGUGAUGAAACCACGGAAUCGCCGACUGGUGUUAUUUCACAGCCAAAACAGUCCUGGAAUUCUUUUCCCGACUUCACUCCACAGAAGUUUAAAGAGAAGACUGCAGAGCAGCUUCGGGCCCUUCAGGCAAGCUUUCUCAACAGCUCCGUGCUUACAGAUGAAGAAUUAAAUAGGUUAAGAGCGCAAACCAAACUUACCAGAAGAGAAAUUGAUACUUGGUUUACAGAGAGGAAUAAAUCAAAAGCUUUAAGGGAAGAGAAAACGGAAAUAGAUGAAAGUAAUGCAGGUAGUUCCAAAGAAGAAGCUGGAGAAGCCUCUCCCGGAGAUGAAUCUGGUGCCGCUAAAUCAGUGAGUACAGGCAAGAUGUGCAAAAAAUCACCUGAGCAGUUGCACAUGCUUAAAAGUGCAUUUGUCCGAACACAGUGGCCAUCACCAGAAGAGUACGACAAGUUAGCCAAAGAAAGCGGGCUUGCUAGAUCAGACAUAGUUAGUUGGUUUGGGGACACUCGUUAUGCUUGGAAGAAUGGAAACUUGAAGUGGUACUACUACUAUCAGAGCGCCAACGCGAGUGGUAUGAAUGGUCUGUCUUCCCUAAGGAAAAGAGGGAGAGGGAGACCCAAAGGCAGGGGGCGAGGCAGAUCACGUGGGCGGCCUCGAGGAAGCAAAAGAAUGAACAACUGGGACAGGGGGCUGUCGCUCAUAAAAUUUAAAACUGGAACUGCAGUACUUAAGGAUUAUUACCUGAAGCACAAAUUUCUGAAUGAACAAGACCUUGAUGAACUCGUUAACAGAUCACAUAUGGGCUACGAGCAGGUCAGAGAGUGGUUUGCAGAGAGACAGCGAAGAGCAGAGUUAGGUAUAGAAUUAUUUGAAGAAAAUGAGGAGGAGGAUGAAAUUAUUGAUGAUCAGGAAGAAGAUGAAGAAGAAACAGAUGACAGUGAUACUUGGGAGCCCCCACGGCAUGUGAAGCGGAAGCUUUCUAAAUCAGAUGACUGAAAUGAAAGAAUUCAAAAACGAAAACUAAAAAGAAGGGGAAAAGUAUACCGGAGGAAAGACCGCAGGGCUGCCUAAAGCAUUGAAGGAGAAUCAGUUCCUCAACUCAAGAUGUCUGAUUUACUGUGAAUGGGCCCAAUCUUUGAUGAAACUGAAAACGUUUUGAGGCAUACACACUCAAAAAAAUAGGACUCAGUACCCAAAAGAAAUGGAACUUAAUGUAUGUUGUGCCAAAGUUAAACUACUGCAGCUGGUGGAAGUUCUGCAAUGUAAAUAGACCACUAAUUUAAAAAACACCUUGUAAAAUUUCAAAUUUUAAUACAGCACAUUUUUAUUCUGAUAUGAUGGAGACAUUCGGAUUCUUAGACUUUCUGGAGGGAUUUAAUGACCACUAGAGCUUGUGCUCUUAUAUUUUGUCCAGCUCAAUACCGUAUGUCUGUAAGAUGGGCUCUACUGCCCGUAUUCUCUGAUAUGUGAUUAAGCUUAUAGCUUUGAGUGACCAAACAUUUUACAGAGUAAAAAUUGUUAGAAACAGGAAGAAAAACGGAUUUAUUUCUGUAUUAUUUAUCAAGCCCCCGCACUAAGAUUAAAAGUUGUACAUGGGCUUAUAUAAUUUCACUGUAAGUGAACAAACAGCCUAUUCACACGUUUUGGAACAGUUAGAUUUUGUGGUAGCACAGGCCCUUAAUGACUGGCUCUUACGCCGAACACAUUCAUGGAUGCUACUAUUACUACUUGUAAUGCUUCUGUCAUUAGAAACUGAAUUUGCUUUUUUAUUAAACUAAAGACAAUAAUGAAGAAGGAAAAGAAACUGGCAUAUGAAUUUGCAUAGGGAGAAACUCUGAAAUAAAUGUACCAAAAAUGUGAAAAAAGAAUCAUAUAGUAAAUAUGUACUUAGUGUUUUUUGUUUGUUUGUUUGUUUUUUAGCAAUCACGUGGGUAUCAGAAAUGUUUGUACAGGCGUCAGAUCAGAAUUUUCAAGAAUUAUCUUUCAGUGAAAUUUGUGUAACAGUUUCAAUGAAUAGAGAAAAAAAAUUCUGAACUGAUCAUGAGUUAAAAGUUAGCUUUUCACUUAGGCAUCAAUGGGAGUGUUAACUGUUAACUCUUGCCAUGCCAGGAGACUGAGAGUUCUCACUAACUUAUUUGUAAAGACUGGUGCUGUUCACUUAGAUUGAGAAGGACCCUUUCUUUUGUGACUAUAGGACCAUUUUUCAAAAUGUGCUUUCUUCUAGAAGAAAUGUUCGGUUGAAUUAGCUUUGGAUUUUAAAAUGUUUUCUCUGAAUGAGCAGAUGUAGUAGGCUUGGCCAGUUUAUUUUAUCUAAUUUAAUGAAUAAUAAAUAUUAAGCUCUUGGUUUUUACCUACAUGUUUUUCAGCUAAUGAAAAUGUUAUGAAAAGCCUUGAAUAUGCAUGCUGCUUUCAUUUUCAUGAACGUUUUCUUUUUUAACUAUAGCUUUAUUAGUAAUUCCAAAAUGCUGCAAUUUAGCUGGUUUCUUCACUCAGCUGGCUUUGUGGGUGGCUUUUUUCAUACUACUGUUAACUUUUUUUAAAAAGAAGCAAUGUAAAGACUGUAACAAUUUAAUGCACUAAACUUUUUUUCUUUUACACGUUUAAAACUUCUUAAAACACUCUGUAUUAUAAUGAUUAAAUUGCUCCCUUUUUUAAACCAUUGCUAAUGUGGUCUGAGUUUUGUUUGACAAUAAUUUUAAUGUUUUCAAAAUUUGAAAUGCCAAGUAUUGGAAAUGAAACCUUUGAAAAUAUUUAUAUUGUUUCCCUUUCGAUAUGUUAACUCUGUAUAGCUGUAAAUAACUAUUAGUGAUUUUCCCCCAUCUCUUUUAUAGCUUGGCACUUAAUUCUGCUCUGAAGUUUGCUAGCUUUUAAAUAUAUUUAUUUGACAGAGCAAAAGAACCCUCCUCUCCUGGUUGAUUGUGUCCUUGAAUACAAAAUAAAAGUUAGCAGUGAUUAGUAG